UUUCUAACUUCCUUUAGACAGGUGUCUGAUUGACUUACUUAUAUUUCUUUAAAAUGAAAUCUAAGAGUCCAGGCCCUGUCAGUACUGCCUGUACCCCCCUGUAAGUGGCCCUGUGCAGGAUUAGUUUAUGUUGCUCCUAGGAGGGAACUGGACCCUAAAGAAUGGCCACUUUAACUGCCCACAUUAACAACAUUUUAACAAGGCAGCCCUAAAACAAAAGGCUGGAAUAGGAGGACAGAAUAACAACUGUGAUUUACCAGAGACGGAGGUUAUCAGAAAACAGAGACUGUUACUGGUAAAUGGGGACAGCCAAUGUCUUUGUAGGGGAGUUGAAGUUGGAGAUGACAUCAAACAGAAAUUCAAGGAACAUGUUGUGAGUCAGGGAUUUCCUGAGAACAGCAUCAGAUACUAUGAGAAAGCUGAGUGCCCACAUGGAACCGGAAAAUGAUGAUUAACUCUGCAACAAGGACAAAAGAGACACUUAUAUACUAUUGUAGUUAUACCCCAAAACUACUGAUAAUUGGUUCUAUUUUACUAUUUCUGUCAUCUUUGUUUAAAAGCUUCAUUCUUUCUUUGCAUAUCAAUAAAAAUACUU